UCCCCGGUGGUGCAAUGGGUUAAACCCUUGCACUGGCAGACUGCUGAUUUGAAGGUUAGGUUGCUGACCUGAAGAUUGCUGGUUCAAAUCCAACCUGGGGAG
rnacentral:tRNA from 1 species